rnacentral:rRNA from 1 species
AUGAUCCUCAACGACGAUGACACUUAUGACUCCAUGAGUGAAGAAGAAAUGGAAGCCCUUGAGCACGUGGCCAUGCAUCGAUGCGUCAACGAAGAUGAAGAUGAUCAAGUCUUUUUUGACAAAGAUUCGAGCCCCGCUCUCUUUGUCUCCAUGGUCUUGACACUUCAACACCAACACGGCGAAGACCAAAGAUGCCAUAUCUUCCACACCAAGGCGGGCAUCAAUGGAAGGUCCGUGAAGGUCAUCAUCGAUGGAGGAAGUUGCCAUAACUUGGCAAGUGAAGAACUAUGCUCCAAGCUCCAAUUGGUCAAGAUGAAGCAUCCCCACCCCUACAAGGUCCAAUGUCUUAGUGACUCCGGCACAAUUCAAGUGGAACACAUGGUUCAAGUCUCCUUCAAGAUCAGAGCAUAUGAAGACACCUUGGAGUGUGAUGUCGUUCCUAUGUCCGUUUGCCAUCUCCUACUUGGACUAUCUUGGCAAUUUGACCGUGGCGUCAUCCACAACGGGCGAACCAAUCACUAUAGCUUCAAGAUGAAAGGAAAGGAGUACAUGCUAUGA